GACGUAGGGCGCGAGCGUUGUCCGGAUUUAUUGGGCGUAAAGAGCUCGUAGGCGGCUUGUUGCGUCGACUGUGAAAACCCGCGGCUUAACUGCGGGCUUGCAGUUGAUACGGGCAGGCUAGAGUUCGGUAGGGGAGACUGGAAUUCCUGGUGUAGCGGUGAAAUGCGCAGAUAUCAGGAGGAACACCGGUGGCGAAGGCGGCUCUCUGGACCGAGACUGACGCUGAGGCGCGAAAGCGUGGGGAGCAAACAGG
rnacentral:rRNA from 1 species